UUGGUUGCUAUGGGCAACUCAGCAACUUUUCCUCUGAACAGGUUAUGCUAAAUCUCCCCCCAUUUUGUCCUGCGCGUAGUUGUAGUUACGGUAGACAGCGCUAUUCCUCUCCUGGGUACAGUAAAGACCAGAUGUCUCAGAGUCAGUGUCCAGCAUAUCUGGAGGCCUCAAGCCUAACCUACAGCCACAUGCUAAUGCUGUAUCCAAGCUAGACAAAGCACCUCAGGGCGUGAAACUAGUCGCUUCUUCUAUUGAUCCUUCAACGUCCCCCUGUGUCUUGGUCCCGGAAUAAAGUUUACAGUUUUCAGCAUCUACAGUGCGGAUUUUCCUAUCUUCCAUGGACUUGUAAUUAUCUAUAUACAGCCUGCACCUCCAAGUAUUUGCACUGAACCCAGUUGUUUCCUGCAAGCUCGGUUUUUCUUUUUCGGUUUUUCAUUUUUGGGAUUUUUUACACACAGUGCCACUUCUCCCUCCCUUUUUUUCAAUUAUAGUAAUUAUAUUCCUGUACAUAUGAGAUAGUAUUAUAGUAUUUCUAAUGGCAGCACAGCUGGUUUUAGUGAAUCCCUCUAUUCUUACCUCAGUAAGAUUUAUUGUUAGCCGUCUGUAACAUAUUUAUAUACAUGAGACCAAAGAUAACACUUUUAAGAUGAAAUCUAUCUCCAUAAGAGCGAGUGUUGUAAGUGUAAUAGUGAAGGGCUAUAUACACUGUUUAUAUAUAGAGGACAAGGUUCAUCUAUAGCUCC